rnacentral:rRNA from 1 species
AUGGCGUCGUCGUUGCCGUCUUCUUCUUGUUGGCAUUCCAUAGUGCUGGUAGCCAUGUUGUUGGUGCUGGUCAUGGAUCAGAUGGCCAUGGCGUACAUGUACGAUGACAUCGAGAUCGUGUGGGGCGACGACCACAGCUUCUUCUACAUGGACGACGCCGGCGACGACGAGGUCCUCGCGCUCUGCCUCGACCAGACCCACGGCUCGGGGUUCCACUCCAAGGAGGCGUACCUCUACGCCCGCUUCGACGUCGACCUCAUGCUCGUCCCCGACAACUCCGCCGGCACGGUCACCACGCUCUACCUGAUGCCGGAGGACGUGCCGUGGGACUACCACGACGAGGUGGACCUGGAGUUCCUGGGCAACGUGACCGGCGAGCCCUACACGCUCCACACCAACAUCUUCGCCAACGGCGUGGGCAACCGCGAGGAGCAGUUCCGCCUCUGGUUCGACCCCACCGCCGACUUCCACACCUACUCCAUCGACUGGAACCCCAAGCGCAUCACGAUCCUGGUGGACGGGGUGCCGAUCCGGAGCUUCAGGAACAAGGAGGAGCACGGGGUGGCGUUCCCGACGUGGCAGAAGAUGCGGCUGCACGGGAGCCUCUGGAACGCCGACGACUGGGCGACGCAGGGGGGGCGCGUCAAGACGGACUGGUCGGAGGCGCCCUUCUUCGCCCACUACCGCAACCUCCGCGUGUCCUGGUGCCGGCCGUCGCCGGGACUGGCGUGGUGCGGCGACGAGCCGCCGGAGUCGACGUGGUUCGACCGUGGCCUGGACGCGGCGGCGCUGCGGCGGGCGCGCGACGCGCACAUGAUCUACGACUACUGCAAGGACGUCCAGCGGUACAGGUGGUCGGGGCUCCCCAAGGAAUGCACCGUGGACUAG